AUUGAACGCUGGCGGCAUGCUUUACACAUGCAAGUCGAACGGGCUUAGGGGCUUGCUCCUAAGUUAGUGGCGAACGGGUGAGUAAUACAUCGGAACGUACCGUGUAGUGGGGGAUAACGUAGCGAAAGUUACGCUAAUACCGCAUACGAUCUACGGAUGAAAGCAGGGGGACCUUCGGGCCUUGUGCUAUACGAGCGGCCGAUGUCUGAUUAGCUAGUUGGUGAGGUAAAGGCUCACCAAGGCGACGAUCAGUAGCGGGUCUGAGAGGAUGAUCCGCCACACUGGGACUGAGACACGGCCCAGACUCCUACGGGAGGCAGCAGUGGGGAAUUUUGGACAAUGGGCGCAAGCCUGAUCCAGCCAUGCCGCGUGAGUGAAGAAGGCCUCGGUUG
rnacentral:rRNA from 1 species